rnacentral:rRNA from 1 species
UAGGGAAUCUUCCACAAUGGACGCAAGUCUGAUGGAGCAACGCCGCGUGAGUGAAGGAGGUUUUCGGAUCGUAAAGCUCUGUUGUUGGUGAAGAAGGAUAGAGGUAGUAACUGGCCUUUAUUUGACGGUAAUCAACCAGAAAGUCACGGCUAACUACGUGCCAGCAGCCGCGGUAAUACGUAGGUGGCAAGCGUUGUCCGGAUUUAUUGGGCGUAAAGCGAGCGCAGGCGGAAGAAUAAGUCUGAUGUGAAAGCCCUCGGCUUAACCGAGGAACUGCAUCGGAAACUGUUUUUCUUGAGUGCAGAAGAGGAGAGUGGAAUUCCAUGUGUAGCGGUGGAAUGCGUAGAUAUAUGGAAGAACACCAGUGGCGAAGGCGACUCUCUGGUCUGCAACUGACGCUGAGGCUCGAAAGCAUGGGUAGCGAACAGG